rnacentral:rRNA from 1 species
UACAGGGGGGGCAAGCGUUGUUCGGAAUUACCGGGCGUAAAGGGUUCGUAGGUGGCUCACUAAGUCACACGUGAAAUCCCUCAGCUUAACUGGGGAACUGCGUGUGAAACUGGAGAGCUUGAGGGUAGGAGAGGAAUGCGGAAUUCCAGGUGUAGCGGUGAAAUGCGUAGAUAUCUGGAGGAACACCGGUGGCGAAGGCGGCAUUCUGGACUAUUUCUGACACUGAUGAACGAAAGCCAGGGGAGCAAACGGG